rnacentral:rRNA from 1 species
UACGUAGGGUGCAAGCGUUGUCCGGAAUUACUGGGCGUAAAGGGCUCGUAGGCGGCCAACUAAGUCGGACGUGAAAUCCCUCGGCUUAACCGGGGAACUGCGUCCGAUACUGGAUGGCUUGAGUUUGGGAGAGGGAUGCGGAAUUCCAGGUGUAGCGGUGAAAUGCGUAGAUAUCGGGAGGAACACCAAUUGCGAAGGCAGCUCGCUGGGACGUCACUGACGCUGAGACGCGAAAGCGUGGGGAGCAAACAGG